rnacentral:lncRNA from 1 species
CUGCUCCUAUGAUCUGAAAUUUACCAUGUGCUAAAGUGGUGUCACAGUGGACUUUUAGGGCUGGUAAGAACAUGUAGGGCAAUGCAUUCACCUCCUUUUCUUUCCGAACCCGUGUUUUUAAACCAUGAGAAAAGAGUUGACGGUGCAGCCGCUCAAGGCAAGUAUACUAUGCACAUUUAGGGAAACUUUGAAAACAUAUUGGGUAGACAGCUAGGAUUGUAAUGCAUGAAUUAGCCCUUAGAUCUUCCCAUUGGGGAAUUGUUUCAGAAAGUCACUGUGGUGCAAGUAAAAAACAGCUGUGUGAAAGCUGGUUACAGACUCUUGAAUCAGAUUUGAUGCAAGUGAUGACAGCCUUUCAAGGAAUUGGCAGGUGUGUAUCCCACUUACUUUCACUUGCCUAUUUGCAUGCUGUGACUCUGAUCAUCUUGAAAGUGUGAGGUUUUGCUCAUAAAGGCUGAAGCAGUGACACCAGCAGGUAAAGGGUAAUUUCCAUGAAUUAUAAGGGACCAUUCUUCCGAGUUCAGACCCAGUCCUUAAAAGGAUAUUAUGCAUGCUUAAGAAGGUCAUUGCUUCGUGCUGGAGGUAAAACAAAUGCCAUGUGCAAAACGGAUUUGCUUUGGAUAAAGUAAGGCUUCAAAAAACAAAUGUUGAUGGCAGCCUGUACUUUCAGAGAAGAACAAAAGCUGAUCAGGCCAGCUUGUCUGUAUACACCUGUGUGUCACAGGACAGCUCGAAAGGUAGUUAUGGCCUGCUAACUUGGCUGGAAGGCUGUGUAUAAAACUGGCCCGUAGAGUGGCCAGUCAUCAGGCUUAUUGCCAGCCAGGCAUUAUGCUGUGUGAUCUGUUUCUCCAGACUGGAUAGUAACUGGCACUUCUUUAGCAAAGUUUCAAAAUAUUAAGGAGCCAAUCCAAUUUUAAAAUUGAUGAGCAUUUGGGCGAAAACAAUAUAAUAACAGACUUUCCAAGAGAGAGAGAGAGAAUCUUAGGGAUAAUGAUAUUCCUUGUAAGGGUGCUUUCAUUUGCACACACUAAACUGCAAAUCAGGCUUGUAAACUUUCUAUACACACGUCUUCCACACUUCACCAGUAUUUUUCUUUUUAAAGCAUUGUCUUGUUUAAAAGGAAAUAUGAUCCCUCUGCUGUGUCUGGAGGAGAUCUACACCUGUUUUCUGUCAUUGAGAACCACACCUAGAUAUGCUGCAGAAGCUGUUUUGUGAAUUGUUCCCCAACAUUUUUGUUUGUGGAACACCCACUCUGGAUCUGCAUGCUUGGCACCUAUACUCAAUGUCAUUCUGGAGCCAGCUAAAAGCAUAUAUUUUCCUCUGGUUUUCAGUUCAGUAAAUAUACUCGACUUUUAUUGCUCCUGAGCUAUUUCCUAGUUUUAUUGGCAUUUUUAUCUGGAUCUUUUGGCUGCUGCAAUGUAUUUUGAGUUUUCAUAUGAUUUAUUUUAGCAUGUUUUCCUGUUUGCUGCUUUGGUUUUUUUAGUGUGUGUGUGGAAUAGUGUGGGAUAUAAACCCAGUAAUUAAAUAGAUGCACUCAGGCUUAGUUUUAUUGUAUAAAUAUGGCUUUUUGGUUGCGUCCACGGGAUAAACUUGAGGUUGUGUGAAACUGCUCUGAUUUAGGGCCAGACUAGAUGAGCAGAGCCACCACGUAUAUGUUGAACAUGUGUUUGCUUGGUUCAUAUACAAAGCAGGGCUGGGUGGGUCUCAAAAAAAGGAGUGUACAAAGGAGGAGAGCAAAAUCUGGUCCACUCCUUUGUGUUGCCUUGCUAUGCUCUAUUGUUAAACAGUUCUUCCCUAGCCCGGAUUGGAUACCAGAAGUGAGGAAUCAUAUGCGUCCUCUGUAUGUUCCAUUGUGCAAAAUAGAGGGUAGAUGAGGAAUGAGAAACCUGUGACCCUCCAGAUGUUAUUGGACUCCACCUCCCAUCACCCUUGACUAUGGAGCAUGCUAACUGGGGCUGAUGGGAGAGAUAACCCUGGCAUACACACCCCACACCCUUGCAUUUCGGGUGUCUGGGGCAAACAUGCGUUGAUCAAAUUGUGUGGUCACCCUGCAUGAUUCUUUUGGCUCUCAAAGGGGACACUUGGGUAUUGCUGUUUUAUUGCUUGCACUCGUGGUGCGUUUAUGUCCUGAAUGAAGCGAACCCACAUCCUAACAGCAGUUUUCUGCUUUUGCAAUUUCAAUAGUGUCUUUCUUUUCCUUGUAGUUUAGUGACAACUUUGAAAGCAGUGUGUGCCAAAGCCUUAGCAGCCAGGAGGCAUAUCAAAAGAAACCUCAUUCAGUAAACCCCCUCCCCCAAGUCUGCUUAUUUCUAUCAUAAUGUGUUGGUCUUUUUUGAAGGGCUAUUUUUUUGGCCAUUGAAGCUAACUAUGCCACAAGAAUCCACGCAAAAACCCUUCCCCAGGUUUUGGCAACUGCUGCAGCCAUAGUGAUGAACGGCCAUGUCUCUGAAAUAUGCAAAUAAGAAUCAGCCGCCGCCUCUGGCACCAGAGACAUUUCCAAUGCAUUUUCUGGAUUUUAUUUUAUUUUUUGUCUGUACACUCGGCGGCCAGAUAGGCAUAAAAAAUGAUCCUGCUUCUUCGUAGUUCAAAUAAGCAUUUUGCUUUAAAUUACAUUGUCACUUACUAAACUUCCUGUAGCACUCUUGGCAGGCUGAGCUGGUUUUUUCUUGGGUUGUGUGCUCAGACUUUACUGUAUACAGUUGCCUGGGCUUUUUUUCUCUUUUCUUUUCUUCCUUUUUAGCCCAACAGUCACUGUGAGGAAAAGUACUGAGUUGUGCUUCCUGUGGUUAAUACAAACUAUUAUUGGCAUGGAGUAUUCUUUCCUGACCUCAUUAAUCAGGAAAAGAGAGGAGAGAAAAAGAGAGGGGGGGGGAGAGAAUAAAGAAACCUAAACAUGCUACUAAACUGAGUCUGAGAAAUGGGUGUCCUUAAUUAGUUGGAAAAGUGCUGUGCAUACAUGCUGAUAUUACCGCCACACAGGCAAUUUGCAGUACUGUUAACAUGCUUAAUGGAUAAUAUUAUUAUUUUUGACUUGUUUCAAGUCAAAGACUGUUGGAGUCCCCACCCACCCACCCAAAGACACUGUUAUUCUUUUCGUACGUGAAUUAUAAUAUCCGUCAAAAUUGGCAACAGAGUUUUGUGUCUAGGGAACAGAGCUGAUUCUAAGUUUUGGACAGACGUGUUAUAGUCCUGCAAGCAGCUAUAUUACUGCAGAGUGUUGGAGGAGGAUUGCUUGUUUGAAAGUGUUUCCAGUGACAAAAUUUCAUUGAACUGUAAAAUUUUCAUAUAGAGGGAGUGCAGGCAAUUAUUUUUGCUCAUUAGGUGCUUUCAUGAUGGUAUCUAAGGCAAUGCACAUAUUAAAAUUACAUAGAACCAGCUAUCAGUUAGGUACAACAAAUUCAAUUGUAACACGGGCAAUAAAAUAAGAAUGAUAAACACAGCAGCACUCAGUUUAUCCAUACACACAAACAACAUGAAAAAUCCUUUCAAAAGUACAGGAUAAGUAUCCCCUUCUUGAGAAAUACGGUAAAAAUGUGGUAAGAUGAAUCUCUAUUGGGAGAGUUCCAUAAAUUGGGUGCCAACAGAGAAGUUACCUGUUUCCCAGUGAUUUGGGACUGUAUCACAUCAGAAAGUGAAUGUUUAAAAUAUAAACAUUGUAAGUUAUUCAAAUGUGCACUUUCUGCUAUGGCAUAGUCCCAUCACAGAGGUGGGGGACUGCAAGCCUGGAAGUUUGAAAUCACUGAGAAGCAGAAAUUUUGUGAGUCUUUCUAGGUGUUGUGGGGCAUUAUAUAAAAUGGCAUGUUUCAAACAACAGAAAUGCUAAAAGCCACAAUGUGUCAUCUUUUAGAUCCGGAGUUUUAUGGUAUGUGUUUCUUUUAUAACGGUCUUUAUGGUUUGAGCAAUUUCAUAAGCUAGUCUUUUUAAAUACAUCAGGCAUUUCUGCUUGAAAGCGUUUUGUUUUGGAAUUGUGGCAAUUGCAAUUACCAGACUUGUCCUUCACGGAGAAAUACGUACCCGGCAGGAAUGGCAAUAAUCCAACUUUAAAUAUGGCAUGAAUAUGUUCUCUGUUCAGCAGGCUCAACUGUUGCACUGAGAACCAGGAUGCAUAUUCAGCCUUUGAAGAAUUACUUUUGUAAAGAAGCAACAUCCGCCCUUCCAGCUCUACUAUAAUUCUUGCAUACAUGACCGAUGUAUAUAGGAAAACUGAUAUAUGGCUAUUGAUAAGAUCAGGUUUGUACUUUUCAAGGUGUUUAGAAGUGGUAAAGUCUGUGGUGAGUUGUGCUAAGCACAGGCAGAAAGGAACCAGUUCAGUUUUUGUUUUUUUUAAACAAAGGAACUUCAGGCUUCAAAAAAGAAUCUCUGAAGAAUACUGCUUAAUUUUACUUCAGGACAUACUUUUGGAACUGACCUUGGCUACAGCUUGUGGUGUGUCCAGACCAGUGAGACAAGCCAUGAGCCUGCAGGUGGAAAAAUCAAAAUUGGAAACAGAAUUGUUAGACUCCAAAAUUAAGAAUUUGUCAAAAAUGUAUAACUUGCUGUUGAAAUGGAAUACUCAGGAUGAAACGGUGAAAUCAGCAAUGAUUAAAUGGGCACAAGAUGUUGGACAUAACAUAAUGAUGGCUGACUGGGAACAGUUAUGGACCACAGGUAUGAAAUUUAUGGCAUGUAAUGCUCUAAGAGAAAACUUAAUGAAAAUGAUUUAUAGGUGGUACAUGACACCAGUCAAGCUUGCAAAAAUCUACCAUUUGACUGAUAAUAAAUGUUGGAAAUGUAACGAGACUGAAGGCACAUUCUUUCACCUUUGGUGGACAUGCCCAAGGAUUAAGACAUUCUGGGAGAUGAUUUAUAACGAAAUGAAAAAGGUAUUUAAAUAUACCUUCCUGAAGAAACCAGAGGCCUUUCUCCUGGGCAUGGUCGGCCAAUUGGUGCCAAAGAAGGAUAGAACUUUUUUUAUGUAUGCUACAACAGCAGCAAGAAUAGUUAUCGUGAAGUAUUGGAAGACACAAGAUUUACCCACCCGGGAAGAAUGGCAGAUUAAGUUGAUGGACUAUAUGGAAUUGGCGGAAAUGACUGGCAGAAUCCGAGACCAGGGAGAAGAGUCGGUGGAAGAAGAUUGGAAAAAAUUUAAAGAUUAUUUACAGAAAUACUGUAAAAUCAAUGAAUGUUAGAAAAAUGUUGGAAUGAAGUUACAUGGCUUUAGUAGAAAUGUUAUAAGGAAUUAAGUAUAAAUAGAUUAAUAGAGUAUUAAAGGAAAAAAUAAGGUUAGAAUGAGUUAAGAUAAUUAUAGGAUAGAAAACAGAGGUAGAUGGAAAGGAAUUGCUGAAAUAAUUAACAGAAGUGGAAUACAAAAAGGGAGGUGUGAGGAGGUCGUGGAAAUAAGUGAAUGAAAGAUGGGAUAAUAAAAUUGUUUGAUUUAUUUUAUUGUUGUAUUGUUUUGUUAGUUUAAUGUAUUGUAUUGUAUGUGUUUUUUCUUUUCUUUUAGUGUUUAAUUUUUUUGGAAAAGUAAUAAAUAUUAUU